CACCUCUGUGUUGGGCUCAGGUAGCAGUACACGGUAGGAAGCAGAAAUAUGCGAAUUGGCCCCGGUCAAAAAGUGAAAUAUUGGGAAAGGGUAGGUUUCCAUGUCAAAUUUGAGGGUGAUAGGUCUUAUUGUAUCCCCAAAUUGCAUUAAAUCCUGAGAAUAUGACCAUUUUCAAAUGCGAAACUGUGGGGUCAUGACCUCUUAUUGUUGUUGUGUUCUUUGUUACUCAGGAAGGAAAACUGCGGUUCAUUGUUUUCUGAAUUGAGCGUGGUGGAGAUCAAGAAGGCGUCCGCGGCUCCGAGAGAGUGUGUGUCUACCGUGGUCUGCUACCUUAAGUGGUUCAUUGUUUUCUGAAUUGAGCGUGGUGGAGAUCAAGAAGGCGUCCGCGGCUCCGAGAGAGUGUGUGUCUACCGUGGUCUGCUACCUCAGAACGGACUAUUGUUAUGAAAGCGUCUCAUUCAUGUCAUGAUCAUACCAAGCGUUUAUCAUUGAGGUUACAGUAUACUAAACAAUCUCUUGCACGACGGUUACAUUGCAUUCACUGCAUUAAAGAAAACCAUCUCAUA